AGUCCACUGCUUUCCUAAGACUGAUGAUGUUGGGCCAUUUCUGAUGUCCCCAGAUCUGCUGCAUCCAGAAUUUCUUUUCUUCAUGUCAAGGACUGAGUUGUUGAUAUGAGGAAAAGCAAUUUUGUUGCCAAAAAAGAUGAAACAAUUGGUGCAUAAGGUCAGUUGAUGUUCUUGCCAACUGCUUCAUGGUAUUAGAUCUUUCUGAUUCUUUAUUUUAAUAUCUCCCAUAAAAACAUUGGAAUACGUUAAUUCUGUCCUUUACUACGCAGUAGAAGGGAUGAGUAGAUCAGAAUAUAUCAACUUCAAAAAUAUUUUUCUCUUGAAAAGCAAUCUAAACUUCAAAUAAAUCUUUAUUCUACUUCUAUGCCUUUCUAAUGGGAGUGGAUAGUUAAUCAUGGACUUGUUUUAAUUGUCCUUGUAAAAGCAAUUGAGAAUGAAUUAUUUUCUGUUUAAAUAAGCUUACUUAUGAAAUAAGUAAGUAUAAGUGUAAAUAAAAUCGCCCUGUCUAUAAUGUAAGAGUGAUACUUUAUUUCUUACAGUAUUAUCUAGCACAUGAUGAAAACAGCAAGCAGUAAUACCUUCCUCCCUAUGAUACUUGUACUCUUUGUGGUUGGUGAUUUCUGGCUACUUCUUUGGAAAAGUUCUCUUGAAGUUGGUUUCCUUCUUGUUCUCUCACACCUUUCUACUGAGGCAAUAUCUACCUGAUUCUUCAACUCUUGUUUGGCUGGUCAUAUUUUGCUGAGGAUAAAACAAAAUCCCACCUUGCUUUUUAAAAAGCGUACUUCAAGGAUUGGAUUAUCAACCACAACUUUCAAUAAGAGCAAUGAACAUGUAUGGCUGUUACUAUCAGCAGUGGUGUAUUUGCAGCGAUGCCUAUCAACAUCCACCAGAGAGCAGGGCAGCUCCAAAACCCACAUCUUUCAUGCUGUGGAAAUUGAUGGAGACAGCAACACAGCCAGCUUCUUGGCCAAACAACAUGGAAUGCAGUUCAUUUCAAAGGUACUGCUCUCUCAGCCUGUGA
rnacentral:lncRNA from 1 species